GCGUAUACAAGACUCCAGUCUCAACGGAGUCCGAGAGUUCCUGUGUCUUUGGAUCUCUACGUAUACAAGACUCCAGUCUCAACGGAGUCCGAGUGUUCCUGUGUCUUUGGGACGCUUGCAUAAUCCUCUACGCUUCCUCUGGUAGUAUCCUAGAGACGUUUCCAUCUCUAGGUACCAGACCUCCUACAACCUUGGCUUGGUUGUUUCCUUGUUCUAUGGUAUCUCCGAUGGAAUGAUUACUCUGUUUCCCUGAUCUAAGCUCCUCUAGAUCAAAUACAGUUCUUGUACCCGAGACUGUGGUGCAUUCUAAACACUAAAGGCUACAAACCUCCGGACAAAUCAACAUUUUCACGGUUGAGUCCUGUAUAAACUGCCUACCUGAAAUAUAUACAUAAGAUUUAAUCAGUGCAAAUAGAGGUGAGCCGAAGAGAAAGAGUUCAUGCUCGCUCUUAUGUUUGUAGUUAUUACCUGGUCUCCUAUAGGUAAAAAU